AUUGAACGCUGGCGGCAUGCCUUACACAUGCAAGUCGAACGGCAGCACGGGAGCAAUCUUGGUGGCGAGUGGCGAACGGGUGAGUAAUAUAUCGGAACGUGCCCAGUCGUGGGGAUAACGUAGCGAAAGCUACGCUAAUACCGCAUACGAUCUAUGGAUGAAAGCGGGGGAUCGCAAGACCUCGCGCGAUUGGAGCGGCCGAUAUCAGAUUAGGUAGUUGGUGAGGUAAAGGCUCACCAAGCCGACGAUCUGUAGCUGGUCUGAGAGGACGACCAGCCACACUGGGACUGAGACACGGCCCAGACUCCUACGGGAGGCAGCAGUGGGGAAUUUUGGACAAUGGGCGCAAGCCUGAUCCAGCAAUGCCGCGUGCAGGAUGAAGGCC
rnacentral:rRNA from 1 species